UAAUAGUACUGACGUCUACAAGGAAGGACUGAAGGAGCUCAGCUCACCCUCUCUCAUCCCGUGAGGAAUUAGAGAGAAUACAUCCAUGACGACGGAGACUGCAAAAUGCGAGCGCUUCCAUCGAGCUCUAUGUGAGUGUCACAAGCGUAUCCCAGCAGGUCCAACCAGAGAUUCUGCCUGUCGCCAUUUGAAUCGUUCACUUGCACAAUGCCUCGUAUCUGUGGCGUGUCCUUCCGAAUCAGAAGUUGUUCGUAGUCUCUGUUCUAGUGGUGGUACAUCAUUGAAACGUUCUCAAUGUCAACAGGCGCAGCUUUCUCUUUUCGUCUGUCUUUCCUCUCACCAAAAUCCUUGAAAACCCUAACCCUAAUUGCUUGCUUGUGAAUCUCUGCACCAGCAUUAUCAUCGUCUUGAUUUCAGGAGUAGUCAAGGCUGUACUUUGGAAGCAGCAUUUACUGUCAAGCAACAUAUCCCGUUAUCUUUUCCAAGAUAUUUGCAGGCUCACGAAACAGUUGCUGAGGAUCACGUGACUGUUUGUGGAUCACAAUUAUGGGACCUGUGUUCCUUGACAAUUGUGUGCAAGGCCCCAUAGAUAAUAGGGAUACCUAACCUUGUAUAGAGCUUUGGGAACUGGUUGUUUGGCUGAGUACUCAGAUAACUGGAGAGUAAUCUGUGGAGGCCGAGGUGAGUAGUUUGGAAUUCUUGGAUGUAGAAAUUUACACUGUCAAGUUUCUAUUCACUUUGUGGUCUAUGGGAAGUAUUCGUGCAGCCUGGUGGUGGUUAAAUGAACACUUCUUUCUUGUCUUCUUACAAGCUUAAUUAAUCAUAUUAAAUGUUGUGUCAUGUCUCCUGUGGGUUGCUGCUUUCAAGUGGAUUCAGUAUAUUUGUUUUUGCGUGGCCGCCUGGCACUCCCCAGUUAACACCCCAAUAGUGGACUUCAAUUUGUUUCAAGUCUGAUUCUACAUUA